rnacentral:rRNA from 1 species
AUGAGAGGCCUCAGAUCGCGGAUCCUCCGGACCCUGCAGUCCUUCCCCAACGCCGCCGCCGCGCACUCCAACGCCCUCCUCCCGCCGCCCGACGCCGCCGCACCCGCGCCGUCGGAGGCCGGGCCCGAGCGGGCCGAUGGCGACUGCCGGGGCGGCAACGACGACGACAAGGAGAACCUCUCGCCGGAGGCCAACCCGCGGAAGGCCAAGAAGAUGAAGGUCACCUGCGACCGCGAAUUGGGGAGUCCGGCGGCGAUGUCUCCUGUGGAGCCCGGCGGGCCCUACCGCCGCCCCGAGCUCGAGUCGGCCAGCCUCUUUGAUCCGGACCUCCUCGCCGCAUUCCGCGGUGUCGUCGACGCGUACACGCAGGCGCUCGAGAAGACCCAGCGCCAGCCCAUCGACGACGACGCUGACGACGACAUCGCCGCCGCGCUGGACGCCGGCGGCCGCGACGAGGACCCGCUGGCUGGGCUCGAGAGCCGGUGCCCGCCCGGCGGGGCGCGCGCCGUGGUGCUCUACACCACGUCGCUGCGCGGAGUGCGCAAGACGUUCGAGGACUGCGCCACCGUGCGCCGCCUGCUCGACGGGCUCCGCGUCGCCUUCCUGGAGCGCGACGUCUCCAUGCACGCGCCCUACCGGGACGAGCUCCGCGCGCUGCUGCCGCCUCCGCCGGGCCCCGGCGGCGCCGGCGCCAGCAUGCCCCUGCCGCCGCGGCUGUUCGUGGACGGGAGGUACGUGGGCGGCGCGGACGAGGUGGUGGCGCUGCACGAGCGGUCGCGGCUCCGUCCGAUGCUCCGGCGCGCCGCGCGGAGGGGCGCGGGCGACGCGGCCUGCGCGGUGUGCGGCGGCGACUGGUUCGUGGUGUGCGGCGGGUGCAGCGGCCGUCAUUGGCUCUAUGACGACGGCUCGGCCGCCGCCGUCGCCGCCAACCGCGUGCCGUGCCCCGGAUGCAACGAGAACGGGCUGGUGCCGUGCCCCCUGUGCAGCUGA